rnacentral:tRNA from 1 species
GCGAAGGUGGCGGAAUUGGUAGACGCGCUAGCUUCAGGUGUUAGUGUCCUUCGGACGUGGGGGUUCAAGUCCC